UACGGGGGGGGCAAGCGUUGUUCGGAAUUACUGGGCGUAAAGGGCCAGUAGGCGGCCAACUAAGUCCGACGUGAAAUCCCAAGGCUUAACCUUGGAACUGCGUCGGAUACUGGAUGGCUUGAAUUCGGGAGAGGGAUGCAGAAUUCCAGGUGUAGCGGCGAAAUGCGUAGAUAUCUGGAGGAAUACCGGUGGCGAAGGCGGCAUCCUGGACCGACAUUGACGCUGAACGGCGAAAGCUAGGGGAGCAAACGGG
rnacentral:rRNA from 1 species